AGUGAACGCUGGCGGUAGGCUUAACACAUGCAAGUCGAACGGCAGCACAGUAAGAGCUUGCUCUUACGGGUGGCGAGUGGCGGAAGGGUGAGGAAUACAUCGGAAUCUACUUUUUCGUGGGGGAUAACGUAGGGAAACUUACGCUAAUACCGCAUACGACCUACGGGUGAAAGCAGGGGAUCUUCGGACCUUGCGCGAUUGAAUGAGCCGAUGUCGGAUUAGCUAGUUGGCGGGGUAAAGGCCCACCAAGGCGACGAUCCGUAGCUGGUCUGAGAGGAUGAUCAGCCACACUGGAACUGAGACACGGUCCAGACUCCUACGGGAGGCAGCAGUGGGGAAUAUUGGACAAUGGGCGCAAGCCUGAUCCAGCCAUACCGCGUGGGUGAAGAAGGCCUUCGGGUUGUAAAGCCCUUUUGUUGGGAAAGAAAAGCAGCAGGUUAAUACCCCGCUGUUCUGACGGUACCCAAAGAAUAAGCACCGGCUAACUUCGUG
rnacentral:rRNA from 1 species